rnacentral:rRNA from 1 species
UGGGGAAUAUUGCACAAUGGGCGCAAGCCUGAUGCAGCCAUGCCGCGUGUGUGAAGAAGGCCUUCGGGUUGUAAAGCACUUUCAGCGGGGAGGAAGGCGAUAAGGUUAAUAACCUCAUCGAUUGACGUUACCCGCAGAAGAAGCACCGGCUAACUCCGUGCCAGCAGCCGCGGUAAUACGGAGGGUGCAAGCGUUAAUCGGAAUUACUGGGCGUAAAGCGCACGCAGGCGGUCUGUCAAGUCGGAUGUGAAAUCCCCGGGCUCAACCUGGGAACUGCAUUCGAAACUGGCAGGCUAGAGUCUUGUAGAGGGGGGUAGAAUUCCAGGUGUAGCGGUGAAAUGCGUAGAGAUCUGGAGGAAUACCGGUGGCGAAGGCGGCCCCCUGGACGAAGACUGACGCUCAGGUGCGAAAGCGUGGGGAGCAAACAGG